GACGUAUACUAUAUAUAAAUAAUAGAUAAAUACAUAAAUUUUUCUCUUUUGUCUCCCCUCCCGCUCGUUGAAAAUUGGCGCGAAAAUCGCGUGAGAUUAUCGUCGCGUCGUGUGCAGAGGGACGGCCAUGUUGUGACGUGGUUAGUGCACAACUUCAGGCUGUACUUGACCGUCGCUCGCGUUCGCGUCGUGUCGCGGUCCGUCUCCGUUCGACACGCAGUUAUCCCUUCGCAUCACGCGUUUCUUGGCGAUUUGCGAGCUCGCGGUCACCGCGUCCUCUCGUCUGGAUCGCUCGCAAACGUCAUCGGGGACACAAAGCGUCGCGAUUCGUCGACGGGAGUGUCGUCGCGGGACGCCCGGUGUCCGGCGUACGUGACGAAGAGUUUCGUCUCGUCUCGUUAGUGCCGCGAGGUGAGAUCUUGCGUUCCCCGCGUUCUCUCGUCGCUCGAGAGCGAGUUUCCCCGCGAGUUUCCCCAUCGCCGCGGGGAUGUCGAACCGAGCCGACGCCGUUAAUCGCCGGGCAAAGUGGUCGCGUUCCUCGUGCCCCUCUCCCCUCCCGUCUGCGGGAAAUUGGGGCAAAAAUCGCGUGAGACUUUCGUUGCGUCGUGUGCAAGGUGACGGCCAUGUUGUGACGCAAUUAGUGCACGACGGUCGCCCGCGUUCGCGGUCCCCGUCUCCGCUCGAUCUCGUCGCGUUCCUCUCGUCGGUCGAGUGCGAGUUUCCCCGCGGGAGGCAUCGCCGGGGAUGCCGAACCGAGCCAUUAAUCGGCGUUCUAAGUGGUCGCGUCUCUCGCGUCGUUGACAUUUCUGAUUGUGUCGAGCGCAUGUGUGCGAGUGUGUGCGAGUGCAACUCGGAUUACUAGGAAAACGACUCAUCAGCUGGUAAGCGAUUAUGGCCGUGUGAUGCAGCGAAACUUGACGCGACAUCAAUCAGUGAGUGCUUCUACACAAGCAUAGACAGAUAGACCGUUCAAAUCACGUUCACCCUGCGUCAAAAUCGACAUCGUAAGGCGGACGUGAGUUUGUGGUGAGUGUAAAGUUUUGCGCAAAUAAAACGUAGCUCGACUGCUCGUUAGCCGCAUGUCGAAUGUAUUUGCCUUACAACGAGUGAAACGUGCGACUUGGAUGACGAUGUCAGCGGAUUUUGUCUCGCGCUGGUUUACGAUUCACCCGGGGGUAAAUUUCUACGGCGUAGCCCCCGUAUUUUAAAAUCCAGAACGCGCGCGGAGUCCGAGCGAUCGCGCGGAAGGAAAACGGGAAUUUACUCGCGGAGCGAUCGUGUGCGUUGAUGCGGAUGCCCCGUGAUCUGAAAUCCUUUCUCAAUAGCGGAGGACGUGUAUCCAUUUGCCAUAUUCACGCGCGACGUGAAUUUAUAUUCUUUAACUUGUAUUACUCCGUGAAUAUUCUUCGUAAUACAGAAGAAAAGGUGGAUAUUGUGACACUCCGUAUUUAAAUUUCGUACAAUAACUUUGUUUAAUAAUCAGUAUUUUAAAAUCACUCGAACGAUUAUAUUCGCGUUGAUCAAUUGAUCAACUAGACUUGAGCCACAAUAUACCAUUUUUUUUUUUUCUAUAUUAUAAUAUUUUGAGAAAUAUCGCGUGGGCGCGAUCGGUCACCCCGUUUGACAAUUUAGUGACGUCGAUUACAGUUAUACGACACGAACGGGCGAGAUAUUUGACAAAUGCAUAUUGCAUAAAAAAAAAAAAAAAAA